GUGGGGAAUUUUGGACAAUGGGCGCAAGCCUGAUCCAGCCAUUCCGCGUGCAGGAUGAAGGCCUUCGGGUUGUAAACUGCUUUUGUACGGAACGAAACGGUCCUGGCUAAUAUCCGGGGCUAAUGACGGUACCGUAAGAAUAAGCACCGGCUAACUACGUGCCAGCAGCCGCGGUAAUACGUAGGGUGCGAGCGUUAAUCGGAAUUACUGGGCGUAAAGCGUGCGCAGGCGGUGCUGUAAGACAGGCGUGAAAUCCCCGGGCUCAACCUGGGAAUUGCGCUUGUGACUGCAGUGCUGGAGUGCGGCAGAGGGGGAUGGAAUUCCGCGUGUAGCAGUGAAAGGCGUAGAUAUGCGGAGGAACACCGAUGGCGAAGGCAAUCCCCUGGGCCUGCACUGACGCUCAUGCACGAAAGCGUGGGGAGCAAACAGGAUUAGAAACCCUUGUAGUCC
rnacentral:rRNA from 1 species